AACAUUUCGUCGGCCAUCUUAAAUUUUUUAGUAGCUGACUUUAGACACUCCAACAAGUGGGAUUCACUAUCUUUCGACAUGUGGUAUGAAUGCUUACCUCCGUUUGUAAUUAUUGGAGCGUGUAUAGCUGUUACUGGCUGGGGAAUGAAGAUUUGUGAUCGACUCUUUCAAGAAGGCAAGCCCAGUCGAUACAGUGUGGACAGGUUUGAUGAAAGAUUGCUCGCUAGAGAUGAGAGGAUCACUGGCUCAAGAUUCAGACAAAAGUCUUUGUAGAUGGGUAUCACCAGACAUGCAGUAAAGUGUACUUUUGAAUCUGUUGUUGGGAAUAUUUUAGUGGUUUCACUCAUCAGUAGUGAAUCACUUUCUCAAGUUUCAUGUAAUUCUGAAUGUUAAAAAAAUGCUUGUAAAUAAAAAAAAAGGUUUUUGUGUGUGUGA